UCUAGGGGAAACAAAAUGAACAAAAUUCAUUUUUAAUAAAUGUUUCCGACGAAUAGCCGCCGACCAAAGGGCGGGGGCAAUACAUAUU
rnacentral:sRNA from 12 species